CUUGCCCUUCUGCCCUUUUAGGAUUCUCCUGGAAUGGUCCACAGGCAUCUAUAUUGCUGUUCCCCAAUCCCACCCGCAAGGGGCGCGCGAGAUGAAACAGUUCUGUCCUGGGAUGUACCACUGAGGAGUAGCAGUAAGAUCACCCACUCUGAAAGAGACGCUGCGGUUCCAGGACUCCACCUCAAUGGCGGGAAAACCGCAACCUGCACUGCUGCUGCUAAGUCACUUCAGUCGUGCCCGACUCUGUGCGACCCCAUAGACGGCAGCCCACCAGGCUCCCCUGUCCCUGGGAUUCUCCAGGCAAGAACACUGGAGUGGGUUGCCAUUUCCUUCUCCAAUGCAUGAGAGUGAAAAAUGAAAGUGAAGUUGCUCAGUCGUGUCCGACUCUUAGCGACCCCAUGGACUGUGUAGCCCACCAGGCUCCUCCAUCCAUGGGAUUUUCCAGGCAAGAGUACUAGAGUGGGGUGCCAUUGCCUUCUCCGGCAACCUGCACUGCACACGCCCAACUCAGUGAGCAUGCGCAGUGUGUGCGGGCGCAUCCGUUGCUGCGCAUGCGCCUUGGUGCGCAUACGCCUUCCUGAGCGAUCUGUGAGGAGCGUUGGGCGUGAGACGGGUCUGUUUAUUCAGUCCCGGUUCUUUCUCACUACUUGAGACUCACCAGGGAGAAAUAUGAGUGGGCAAGUGGCAUCAAAAUUGGGACCUACAAAUCAAGAUUGCGCCCAGGUGGAUGAACCUGUGGUUCCCAGUGUUGAGCAACCUCAACAAGAGGAACCGCCAGCUGAGAUUCAGGAUAUCACACCUAGAAAGGAGGAAGUACAUGGAGAGGAUCCAGUGAAUCGUGAUGAAGAAGAGGAGAAGGAUCCCUUUGAAGAUUCUGGCCUGGAAGCUGAUCUCCAGCAAUUGGCUCUGGCAAAGACUGGGGGUGAAGGUGGAGAUGGUCCUGAUGUCAGGGAGGAGUUUGCAUCAAAUACAGAGCCUGGUGAAAUGCCAGAAGCAGGUGAAGGGCAGCCAUUUGCUUGAAAGAAGAUAAACUGAAACCAUCUAUGCUGUUCUUAUGUUGUGUAUUUGACUGUUAAAGUUCUGUCAAUAAAGUUUCCUUUUCUAAUUGCA
rnacentral:lncRNA from 1 species